AGUGAACGCUGGCGGUAGGCCUAACACAUGCAAGUCGAACGGCAGCACAGUAAGAGCUUGCUCUUACGGGUGGCGAGUGGCGGACGGGUGAGGAAUACAUCGUAAUCUACUUUUUCGUGGGGGAUAACGUAGGGAAACUUACUCUAAUACCGCAUACGACCUACGGGUGAAAGCAUGGGAUCUUCUGACCUUGCGCGAUUGAAUGAGCCGAUUUCGGAUUAGCUAGUUGGCGGGGUAAAGGCCCACCAAGGCGACGAUCCGUAGCUGGUCUGAGAGGAUGAUCAGCCCCACUGGAACUGAGACACGGUCCAGACUCCUACGGGAGGCAGAGGUGGGGAAUAUUGGCCAAUGGGCGCAAGCCUGAACCAGCCAUACCGCGUGGGUGAAGAAGGCCUUCGGGUUGUAAAGCCCUUUUGUUGGGAAAGAAAAGCAGCAGGUUAAUACCCCGCUGUUCUGACGGUACCCAAAGAAUAAGCACCGGCUAACUUCGU
rnacentral:rRNA from 1 species